ACCGUCGAUGCUUGAGUUCAAUAGCCAUCCUCAACAGGAGUGGAUACGAACAGAGGCAGCUG
rnacentral:sRNA from 1 species